rnacentral:rRNA from 1 species
CCUACGGGAGGCAGCAGUGGGGAAUAUUGCACAAUGGGGGAAACCCUGAUGCAGCGACGCCGCGUGAGUGAAGAAGUAUUUCGGUAUGUAAAGCUCUGUCAGCAGGGAAGAAAAUGACGGUACCUGACCAAGAAUCACCGGACAACUCCGGGCCAGCAGCCACGGUAAUACGGAGGGGGCAAGGGUUAUCCGGAUUUACUGGGUGUAAAGGGAGCGUAGACGGCAGGGCAAGUCUGGAGUGAAAGGCGGGGGCUCAACCCCGGGACUGCUCUUGAAACUGGAAGGCUGGAGUGCAGGAGAGGUAAGUGGAAUUCCUAGUGUAGCGGUGAAAUGCGUAGAUAUUAGGAGGAACACCAGUGGCGAAGGCGGCUUACUGGCCCGUAACUGACGUUGAGGCACGAAAGCGUGGGGAGCGAACAGGAUUAGAUACCCCUGUAGUC